rnacentral:rRNA from 1 species
AGAGUUUGAUCAUGGCUCAGAUUGAACGCUGGCGGCAGGCCUAACACAUGCAAGUCGAACGGUAACAGGAAACAGCUUGCUGUUUCGCUGACGAGUGGCGGACGGGUGAGUAAUGUCUGGGAAACUGCCUGAUGGAGGGGGAUAACUACUGGAACCGGUAGCUAAUACCGCAUAACGUCGCAAGACCAAAGUGGGGGACCCUCGGGCCUCUUGCCAUCGGAUGUGCCUAGAUGGGAUUAGCUUGUUGGUGGGGUAACGGCUCACCAAGGCGACGAUCCCUAGCUGGUCUGAGAGGAUGACCAGCCACACUGGAACUGAGACACGGUCCAGACUCCUACGGGAGGCAGCAGCGGGGAAUAUUGGACAAUGGGCGAAAGCCUGAUCCAGCCAUGCCGCGUGUGUGAAGAAGGUCUUCGGAUUGUAAAGCACUUUAAGUUGGGAGGAAGGGCAGUAAGUUAAUACCUUGCUGUUUUGACGUUACCAACAGAAUAAGCACCGGCUAACUUCGUGCCAGCAGCCGCGGUAAUACGAAGGGUGCAAGCGUUAAUCGGAAUUACUGGGCGUAAAGCGCGCGUAGGUGGUUCAGCAAGUUGGAUGUGAAAUCCCCGGGCUCAACCUGGGAACUGCAUCCAAAACUACUGAGCUAGAGUACGGUAGAGGGUGGUGGAAUUUCCUGUGUAGCGGUGAAAUGCGUAGAGAUGUGGAGGAACACCAGUGGCGAAGGCGACUCUCUGGUCUGUAACUGACGCUGAGGAGCGAAAGCGUGGGGAGCGAACAGGAUUAGAUACCCUGGUAGUCCACGCCGUAAACGAUGAGUGCUAAGUGUUAGGGGGUUUCCGCCCCUUAGUGCUGCAGCUAACGCAUUAAGCACUCCGCCUGGGGAGUACGGUCGCAAGACUGAAACUCAAAGGAAUUGACGGGGGCCCGCACAAGCGGUGGAGCAUGUGGUUUAAUUCGAAGCAACGCGAAGAACCUUACCAGGUCUUGACAUCCUCUGACAAUCCUAGAGAUAGGACGUCCCCUUCGGGGGCAGAGCGACAGGUGGUGCAUAGUUGUCGUCAGCUCGUGUCGUGAGAUGUUGGGUUAAGUCCCGCAACGAGCGCAACCCUUGAUCUUAGUUGCCAGCAUUCAGUUGGGCACUCUAAGGUGACUGCCGGUGACAAACCGGAGGAAGGUGGGGAUGACGUCAAAUCAUCAUGCCCCUUAUGACCUGGGCUACACACGUGCUACAAUGGACAGAACAAAGGGCAGCGAAACCGCGAGGUUAAGCCAAUCCCACAAAUCUGUUCUCAGUUCGGAUCGCAGUCUGCAACUCGACUGCGUGAAGCUGGAAUCGCUAGUAAUCGCGGAUCAGCAUGCCGCGGUGAAUACGUUCCCGGGCCUUGUACACACCGCCCGUCACACCACGAGAGUUUGUAACACCCGAAGUCGGUGAGGUAACCUUUUAGGAGCCAGCCGCCG